rnacentral:tRNA from 1 species
GGAGAGAUGGCUGAGUGGUUGAUAGCUCCGGUCUUGAAAACCGGUAUAGUUCUAGGAACUAUCGA